rnacentral:lncRNA from 1 species
ACAAAACAUAACCAGAACCCUAAAACAAUCAAAGGAACCAGUCUGCAAUAACCUUCCUUCUCUACCAAAAUGACCAAAACCUCCUUGCUAAACUCACCAAUGAAACAAUGGAGAAGGAAAGGAGAUUAAAAGGACCCUUUUCCCAUAGUAUAAAGACCUCAAUCCCAAACAGACCCAUACCAGUCUAACUUCAUAGCGAGUUUAUCCACGUCCGAUCCUCUGCUACGAUCUCAUGAACCUUUGAAGGAACUUCAUCUACUAGAACAGGUCAGUUAAACCUUGCCAGCCAAUCCCCGCCGUUGCAUGUGCAGCAACAUUACAACUUCUAGGAGUGAAUUUAAAACUACAUGCCUCGAAACUUCUCAACAAAGCUAUCCUAGGUAAUUAGACGUAUAACUAAAUAGUCUUUUGCGUUUGUAUAUAAUUUUAGUAUUAUAGUCUUCAAAUCACUCUCCAGGAUGAUUUUCCAGAAACCUAUUUCUUGGGAAAAUUGGAGCCCAUGCAAAACUGUCAUCGCCUCCGCCAUGAAAAUCGUGCUGACCUAGCUAUGGAAUUGAUAACUCGAACCCAAUAUUUGCCCCAACUCAUCUCUAACAAUAAUCCCUUAUAUCGCUUUUUGAUUUGGUCCCAAAUCUCCCGCAUCGACAUUUACCUUGACCUACGAUGACGGUGGAAGAGUCCAACGUGCUACAACAACUAGAGAAGGGUGCCUCAAAACUGUACUCAGCGCCCGAUAUUCUUGCCCAUAAUCGCGAAUAAAGGUAACAACAUCAUUAACACUUUACGAAAUUCUUUCAUGGAUAAGUUUAUUUCGAGCUUGCCAUAAUGCCCAAAUUGUAAUAGCAGCAAGUUCUUUUUUGUCGUUGUUUAAAUGUUCAGAAAUCCAAAAUAACCAAUCUACUAAACUCAUCUCGGCCACCACUUUAGGCCACUAGAAUCCCAAUAUUUUCCAAGCCUACUUUAUGAAGAGGCAGUCCCGACUAACAUGAAUGAUCAAUUCAUCACAAUGCUAACACCGUAGGCACAAUUGUCCAACUGUUAUUGUUUUACAAUAUAAAAUUUUUAGUGUUGGUCCAUAAUUUUGAACAAAUCUCGAGAUUACAAUUUUUAUCUUUAACGUGCAUUUCAAACACCAAAACUGCUUAUAGAUACUGCGUUCAUUCAUACUUACAAUACCAGGAUGUAAUAAUGCCUUAUAGCCAUUACACACUGAAAAUUUCCCAAUAUGUUCCUUGUACCAAAUUUGCUUAUUCAUUUGAUUGAUUUGUGGUAAAGGUAUACUCAAAAUUGCAUUCGCUUCUUCAUCAAAGAAAAUUGAUCUAAUUAAAAUAUUAUUCCAACUGUUUGAUUCUUGCAUAAUUAAAUCACUAACCUGAUCAACACUUGAGACUUGCUCCGUAAUUACCUUCAUUGUUUCUUUACCAGGUAGCCAGUAAUCUUCCCAAAUAAACACCAUUAAUCCCAUCCCAAUCCUCCAUUUUAGCCCAGACUUCAGCAAACCUUUUGCACUCCAAAUGCUUAUCCAAGUCAUAAAAGGGUUUGAACCUAGAUUCAACUGAAGAAAACCUGUAUUUGGGUAAUAUUUCACCCGAAUCAGCCUUGUUGAUAAAGAGCUAGGAUUCUCAAGCAACCUUCAUCCCUACUUUACCAAUAAAGCAAUGUUAAACUUUGCUAAAUCCUUAAAACCCAUACCACCAUCCUCUAUCAGAUAACAAAGCUUGUCCUAAGAACACAAGUGCAUCCCUUUUAUCCCCCCCAAUUUCUACCACCAAAACCAAGCCAUCAUUACUUCAAGCUCCCUACAAAAUGAACUAGGUAAUAGAAAACACGAUGUAACAACCCAUUUUCAGUGGUGUCGGAAACAGUGGUUCGAGACCACUAAACCCGACAAGUGAGUUUGAAAAUUUUAUUAUUUAUUAUUUAUGAUUUAAAUAUGAUUUUAGGAAAACUUUUGAAUUAAUUAUUUUUGUUUUAGAAUGAAUUAUUAGGUUAAGUGAUUUCGAAAACAAGGUAUCGAGACCUUGAUUUCAUAAACUGAGUCGUAAAUAUUUUUAUAAAUAUUUACAGAGUGUCAAUGAGUUAGUAUUAAAGUUUCGUUAGAAAAUUUUAAUGUUUUGAUAGUUAAUUAAUUAAAAAGGACUAAAUUGAAAAAGGUGCAAAACUUGUUAAUUAAAGAAAUAAUGAUUAAAUAGCUCAAGUGAUAAAUAAGGAAGGACUAAAAGGGAAAUUAGCCAAAAUAGGAUGGAUGAGGCGGCAUUAGCAAGAAAAAAAUUAGGAAAUUAGGUUAAAUAAGCGUAAAAUUGGAAAUUUUGUAAAAUUAAAUAAAUAAAACAACAAUUAAAAGAAAGCUAAACAUUUCUUCAUGAAUUUUCAGCCAAAAAUUCCAUAAAAGAGUCCCUCUAAGCUGGUUUUUCAUAUUUUUGCUACAAUUGAGUUCAAUUCUUGCCUUUUUCUUCUAAUUUUUGUGUUUUUUAAAUUUUUACAAUUAGGUCCAACUAGCUAUUUCAUUAGUUUUUGAUUCUAUGGGUAAUUUUGAAAGUUAUCAUUGAUGAGUUCUGGGUUUUUAUGAUUAAUUAACAUGGAUUUGAAGCUUUAAUUUUGUUAUAUGAUGAUUUUAUUAAGAAAUUUCAAUAGAAAUUGAUUUUAGGACCUAAUUGUGAAAAAGAUUAAAUCUUAGGGUUUGACAUUAAAUUAUAUUUUUCAAAGGCUGUGAAAUAGCUUAUAAUACUUAGAUAAAUUAUCAAUUGUGAAAAAUUAGAUCAAUUGAUAGGAUAUUUGGUAAGGGACUAAAUUGUAAAAAUUGUAAAAGUUGGACUAAUUGUGUAAUUUCAAAAUUUAAGGGGUAUUAAUUGUGAAUUUAAUUGAAAUUUAAAUAUAUGCUAAUGAUUGAAUAAUUUUACAUUAUAGAUCAAAAGCCCAUAGAUCAACGAGAAAAAGGGAAAUUAGCAGAAUAGUCCCUAACUAUUACAAACUUACAAUUCAGCCCAGGUAAGUUCGUAUGGUUAAAAUUUCAUGAUUAUUUAUUAAUUUAUGAAUGAUAUAAUUUAUUUAUUCAUAUUUUUAUUAUUGAAAUUAAAAUUUAUUGUUAAAAUAUGAAAUUGAAAUGAAUGUUUAAAACAAGUAGAACGCAGGAUAGAGUACAACCAUUUUAUAACAAAAGAUGAAUUGACGGAUAAGACCGUGGCUAGAUCAUGGCAAUGUUUAUAUGUAAGACCAUAGUUGGGCUAUGACAUUCUGAUGAUAAGACCAUAACUGGGUUAUGGCACUACGAAUGUAAGACCAUGGCUGGGCCAUGGCAAUGCAUGUGUAAAACCAUAGUUGGAAUAUGGCACAAAGAAAACGAUAUGCUCAUAUCCAUAAGUCGUUCCUUGAUUCAGUAAAAAUUGGUAAAAGAUCUAUGUGAAUGAACUGAAAGAUAUAUUGAUUAUUAAUGAUAUUGAUUUGAAGGAAGUGUGCUUAUUGACUUAUGUUGUAUUUGAUAGGGAGAAUGUAUGAUUUAUUUACAGUUUAGUUUAUUAUAUUAAGUUCAGUAAGAUCAAAGUUUAAUAUAUUGAACUUACUAAGCUUUAUUAAGCUUACUCGUGUUGUUUUAUAUUCUUGUAGAUUAGCGUGUGAUCGGGAGAUCGGAUCAACAUAUCAAGCCACACUAUCCAGUUUAGUCCAGUAGUUUUUGAAAUGUAAAUUUUGGUUUAUAUGGCAUGUAUAGGGUUGGUUUGGCAAUGAAAUAGUUUGAAUUAUGGUUGUGAAUUUUAAAUGUUUGUAUGUAUGUAAUUAGUAGUAGAAUUUGAUAAAUCAAUGAAAUGAGUUAAAUGGGUAAGUAUAAGUAAUUGAUGUAUAUGUAAUGUUAUAUUAUGUUUAGAAC